rnacentral:rRNA from 1 species
AUUGAACGCUGGCGGCGUGCUUAACACAUGCAAGUCGAUCGGUAACAGGUGUAGCAAUACAUGCUGACGAGAGGCGGACGGGUGAGGAACGCUUGGGAAUCUGCCUAUCAGCGGGGGACAACCCGGGGAAACCCGGGCUAAUACCGCAUACGCUCUACGGAGGAAAGCCGGGGACCGCACGGCCUGGCACUGAUAGAUGAGCCCAAGUCGGAUUAGCUAGUUGGCGGGGUAACGGCCCACCAAGGCGACGAUCCGUAGCUGGUCUGAGAGGACGAUCAGCCACACCGGAACUGAGACACGGUCCGGACUCCUACGGGAGGCAGCAGUGGGGAAUAUUGGACAAUGGGCGAAAGCCUGAUCCAGCGACGCCGCGUGGGUGAAGAAGGCCUGCGGGUUGCAAAGCCCUUUCGGUAGGGACGAAAGCUCUCGACCUAACACGUCGGGAGGUUGACUUAACCUACAAAAGAAGCACCGGCUAACUCUGUGCCAGCCGCCGCCGUAAAAC